rnacentral:rRNA from 1 species
UACGUAGGGUGCGAGCGUUAAUCGGAAUUACUGGGCGUAAAGCGUGCGCAGGCGGUUUUGUAAGCCAGAUGUGAAAUCCCCGGGCUUAACCUGGGAAUGGCAUUUGGGACUGCAAGGCUGGAGUUUGGCAGAGGAGACUGGAAUUCCUGGUGUAGCAGUGAAAUACGUAGAUAUCAGGAGGAAUACCGAUGGCGAAGGCAGGUCUCUGGGCUAUAACUGACGCUCAUGCACGAAAGCGUGGGGAGCAAACAGG